ensembl:lncRNA
UUCCCCCUCACCCUGCCGCAGGGCCCACGCAGCAGCGGGCAGGGGGGCGGGGAGCAUGUUUCUUAUCUACAACCCAGCCUGGCAGGGAGGGAGGCUUGCCCAGAAUCAGUCCUGGCUGCCGCUGGCUGCCAGACCCCGUGCCCCGAAGCCCGUGUCAGAUGGGGCCAGGGCAGAAGGAGAGGCUGGAGCUGCUGCUGGCCCUUGGCAGGCGUCCCUCCAGGUGGACAGUGAAGGGACUCAUGUAUCCAUCCUUCCCCAAACCCCGCUUCCCAUCAGGCUGGCAUGCAACAUGAGCGGAGCUCCCUGUGCUCUACACGAGCAGCUUCGUCCCGUAGGCCCGGGUUGUCAGGAGCACCGAGGAGUCCCCCCGCAGUGGCCCUGGCAGGUCAGCCCGAGAGAGCAGGGCCGCCACGUCUGCGGGGGCAGCCUCAUCAGCCUCCGUGGGUGCUGCCCGCCGCCCACUGCGUCUGCAGCUCUGUGAGCCUGACCGUCCAGCUGGGAGCAUCUGUCCUGCACACCAGCCCCCCAGGCUGUCUUCGUGGCUGUGCUCUGCGUCAUCUGACACCCCUCCUUCAACGGGAAUGUGCCUGCUGAAGCUGGCUCCGCUGUGCCCGUCUCCCAAACCGUCAGGCCCAUCCCUCUGGCCUCGGCAGGCUCCUCCUUCCCACCGGGCACCCUCUGCUGGCUCACCGGCUGGGGGGACAUCAGGCAGGAUGUGGCCCUGCCAGAGCCCCAUAGGCUUCAGGAGGUGGACGUGCACAUUGUCAGCCUGCAGAGCUGCCGCAGGCUCUCCUGCUUGGAGCCCGUCACCAAGGAGAUGCUGGGUGCUGGCCACUGCCAGGGCCAGAAGGGCUUCUGCAAGCUCAGACCCCCAUUGGCACUCCUGCCCUGGUCCUUCAUUGGGCCUGGGGAGCCACCGGACCCCUCCGGGCCUGUUUCCUGCUCAGCACAGUGAGGGUGACUCUGGAGGUCCCCUGGUCUGCCCGCUCCAGGACCAGCGCUGGGCACAGGUGGCAGUGGUGAGCUUCAGUGGGGUCUGCGCUGAGCCCAGCCACCCGGGCGUGUGCGCCAAUGUCUCUACCUGCCAGCCCUGGAUCCGCGCCUCGGCCUCCUGCCGAGACACCUGCUCGGGGGCUGACCCCUCCCCGGGGCAUGGCCUGCCCUUCUCCCAUCAUCUCCUCCGAGCUGCCCAUUUCUGUGGGGCCCUUCCCUGCUCUGGCUCCCUGUCCCGCCUGUCCCCGCCUGUCCCGCUCUCCACCCUGACCCCCACGUGACCAGGAUGGAAGACAGCCGGGGCAUGCAGCCGGCUUGACUUGUUUAAAGCAAAGAGCUGGGUCAGGAGGGAAGCACAAAGUUGCUGGGCCCUGCGGGUGGCCUCGGGGGCCCUGGGGG